UACGAAGGGGGGCUAGCGUUGUUCGGAUUAACUGGGCGUAAAGGGUGCGUAGGCGGGUUUUUAAGUCAGGGGUGAAAUCCCGAGGCUCAACCUCGGAACUGCCUUUGAUACUGGAAAUCUUGAGUCUGGGAGAGGUGAGUGGAACUGCGAGUGUAGAGGUGAAAUUCGUAGAUAUUCGCAAGAACACCGGUGGCGAAGGCGGCCACCUGGACGGUAACUGACGCUGAGACGCGAAAGCGUGGGGAGCAAACAGG
rnacentral:rRNA from 1 species